rnacentral:rRNA from 1 species
CAGCCGCCGCGGGAAUACGUAGGGUGCGAGCGUUAAUCGGAAUUACUGGGCGUAAAGCGUGCGCAGGCGGUUGUGUAAGACAGGUGUGAAAUCCCCGGGCUUAACCUGGGAACUGCGCUUGUGACUGCACAGCUAGAGUAUGGCAGAGGGGGGUGGAAUUCCACGUGUAGCAGUGAAAUGCGUAGAGAUGUGGAGGAACACCGAUGGCGAAGGCAGCCCCCUGGGCCAAUACUGACGCUCAUGCACGAAAGCGUGGGGAGCAAACAGGAUUAGAUACCCGUGUAGUCCCUGUCUCUUAUAC